UUCCGGUUGAUCCCGCCGGAGGCUACCGCUAUUGGAGUUCGAUUAAGCCAUGCGAGUCGCGAGUCUUAGGGACUCGGCGUACCGCUCAGUAACACGUGGGUAACCUGCCCUAUGCUGGGGGAUAACCUCGGGAAACUGAGAAUAAUACCCCAUAGCCCACCAUGCCUGGAACGGUUGGUGGAUCAAAGCUCCGGCGGCAUAGGAUGGGCCUGCGGCGUAUCAGGUUGUAGGGGGUGUAACGUACCCUCUAGCCAUCAACGCGUACGGGUGUUGGGAGACAUAGCCCGGAGAUGGAUUCUGAGACACGAAUCCAGACCCUACGGGGUGCAGCAGGCGCGAAAACUUGGCAAUGCGAGAAAUCGUGACCAGGGAACUCCAAGUGGCUGGGGUAAGACCCAGUCUUUUCUUGACUCUUCAAAGGUCUUGGAAUAAGAGGUGGGUAAGGACGGUGCCAGCCGCCGCGGUAAUACCGGCGCCUCAAGUGGUAGUCGAUUUUAUUGGGCCUAAAACGUCCGUAGCCUGUUUGGUACAUUCGUGGGUAAAUCAACCAGCUUAACUGAUUGAAUUCUGCGAGCACGGCCAGACUUGGGACCGGGAGAGGUGUGGGGUACGCUCAGGGUAGGGGUAAAAUCCUGUCAUCCUGAGCGGACCACCUGUUGCGAAGGCGCCACACUAGAACGGAUCCGACGGUCAGGGACGAAGCCUAGGGGCACGAACCGGAUUAGAUACCCGGGUAGUCCUAGGUGUAAACGCUGUGGACUUGGUGUUGGGGAUUCUCCGAGGAUUCUCAGUGCCGAAGCGAAGGUGAUAAGUCCACUGCCUGGGGAGUACGGUCGCAAGGCUGAAACUUAAAGGAAUUGGCGGGGGAGCACCGCAACCUGAGGAUUGUGCGGUUUAAUUGGAUUCAACGCCGGA
rnacentral:rRNA from 1 species